rnacentral:rRNA from 1 species
ACUCCUACGGGAGGCAGCAGUGGGGAAUAUUGCACAAUGGGCGCAAGCCUGAUGCAGCCAUGCCGCGUGUAUGAAGAAGGCCUUCGGGUUGUAAAGUACUUUCAGCAGUGAGGAAGGUGGUAGUGUUAAUAGCACUAUCAUUUGACGUUAGCUGCAGAAGAAGCACCGGCUAACUCCGUGCCAGCAGCCGCGGUAAUACGGAGGGUGCGAGCGUUAAUCGGAAUUACUGGGCGUAAAGCGCAUGCAGGUGGUUUGUUAAGUCAGAUGUGAAAGCCCGGGGCUCAACCUCGGAAUUGCAUUUGAAACUGGCAGACUAGAGUACUGUAGAGGGGGGUAGAAUUUCAGGUGUAGCGGUGAAAUGCGUAGAGAUCUGAAGGAAUACCGGUGGCGAAGGCGGCCCCCUGGACAGAUACUGACACUCAGAUGCGAAAGCGUGGGGAGCAAACAGGAUUAGAUACCCUGGUAGGAUAGCG